UACGGGGGGGGGCAAGCGUUGUUCGGAAUUACUGGGCGUAAAGGGCUCGUAGGCGGCCAACUAAGUCCGACGUGAAAUCCCCAGGCUUAACCUGGGAACUGCGUCGGAUACUGGAUGGCUUGAAUUCGGGAGAGGGAUGCAGAAUUCCAGGUGUAGCGGUGAAAUGCGCAGAUAUCAGGAGGAACACCGGUGGCGAAGGCGGGUCUCUGGGCCGAUACUGACACUGAGGAGCGAAAGCGUGGGGAGCGAACAGG
rnacentral:rRNA from 1 species